rnacentral:rRNA from 1 species
AUGAAGCUCCCGCCGGCUGUUGUCUGUCUUCUCCUCAUCCUCGUCUUCUUUGAUGGUGCUUCAGUGGAGGCCCGAGGCACACCUUCUGCCCAGGGGUCGAGGAACCAAUGGUCCAGCAUGUUCGUCUUCGGCGACGACUUUGUCGACAACGGCAACCGUCCCAACAUCACCGGUGAAAAGACAUCGCGCCAAUGGAGCUACCCCUACGGCUCCUAUCUCAACUCUCAUUAUCCUACGUCUCCUGUUUUGACCGGACGCUUCUCCAACUACAGGAUGCAAUCAGAUUUUAUCGCAAGGAUGUUGGGUCUCCAUGAAGCACCUCCAGCGUACGAGCUCACAGAUGAUCAAUCUUGUGGCUCAUCUGGCAUGACCUUCGCUUCUGGCGGCGCUGGUGUCUUCAAGGUGACAGCGAAGAAAAAGGUGCCGACCCUUGCUGCACAGGUUCAAGCUUUCAAGAGGCUAGUCAACGACGGGGUCAUCCCAACACGACAGCUUCACCACUCUGUCGCGCUCAUCGCCAUCUCCGGCAAUGACUACAUGAGCGGCUCUGAGGCCAAUAAUGGCUUCUACACAAGCUUCGACGAUCUCGAUACUUACGUCGGAAACGUGGCGACUGAGAUCCUAGAUAAUGUGGCGCAACUGCAGAUGCUUGGUGUGAGAAAGGUGCUAGUAAACAACUUGCAUCCCAUUGGUUGCAUGCCUUUGCAUACUAGUUCGAACAACUACACCACGUGCGACCUUCUCGGCAAUUAUGGCGCAUCCGUGCACAACAAGUAUCUAAAGCAAAUGCUCAAAGAAAGGGACAACGUUCACAUACUGGACCUCUACACUGCUUUCACUGACAUCAUUAAUCAUGCCCCUGGUGGAGGGUCGGAUGAGUCCAAGAAUUUCAACCGCGAACUGACCCCGUGCUGCGAGAGUACCUAUAAGGGAGGGUACUGUGGAGAGCGUAGCCAUUCAGGGAAGCGCUUGUAUGACCUAUGUGAAACUCCUGACAAGAUGUUCUACUGGGACCAGACACACCCAACACAUGCUGGGUGGGAAGCUGUAAUGAAGGCGCUGCAACAGCCUUUGAUGGAGUUUCUUGAUGAGGACUACGUUGCAUGA